rnacentral:misc_RNA from 1 species
CUGGAAUGUCUCUCUCUUCUGGCCUCAUGUCUGAAGCAAAGACCCUAGGUAAAGGUACUGAACGUAGUCUGGAGAGUGUACUGCAUGCAAGUAAACAGAAGGUCACUGCAAUUGAAAGCAUGCUUAGAGGUUUGGAAGUGUCAGACAAACAGAAUCCUUCAGCUCUUCGGUCAUCCAGUUUGGAUCUCGGAGUUGACCCUCCAUCAUCUCGUGAUCCACCAUUCCCUGCUGCUGUUCCAGCUUCUAAUCCGCUCUCAAACUCUCC